GGAAACCGAGAUUUUCCUUCUGAGAAAUGGAAGCUGAUGUUUCCAUUGAUAUUUUAUAAACCCUAAUCGUUCUCCGUUUCAAUCUCCAUCGUCUCCCUUUUCUCUUUCACUGAUUAGGGUUCUUCGGUCCAUGGCUUUGAGUGCUAUGAAUCCAGGUCUCGCCUUAUUGUUUUCACUUCUUUUGGUUGGUUGUUGCGGCUCUGCAGCUAAUGUGGUAUUGAUUGGGACCAACGUUACUCUUUCGUUCGACUCCAUUGAAGCUAAUUUCGCUCCUUCAAUAGAAAGUUCAGGGGAACCUGGGGUGUUAUUUCUGGCCAAACCUCUGG
rnacentral:misc_RNA from 1 species